GGUCUUAUCGAGUUGACCUGGCAGAGCUGGGCAGUCCUCUAAAGUUAUGUGGAAAUGAUGAGUCACCCAUUUUUUUAAAACUCGUUGGGAGUCCCCAGGCUUCCAAGUCGCGAGCUUUCCAAGCCAUCUAGAUGAGGUAUAAAGCACAGCUUUAAAUGACCUGGUGUCUCUGCAAACUAUGAUAGAGUCCUAUACAAACAUUGUCAGAAAUCCAUAAACUUUGUCAGCAAGAAAAGUGUGGUGGCUCCAUAGCUAUUUGAGGAAAUUUUUUAAGUAGGUUGCCAAGGUCAGGAUCUCUUUCCACCCUCGUGAAGUGGAAGCCAUGAGAAUACUGAUACUAUUGCAAAGGAUGGAGUUGACAAGUAUUCUCUAAUGGU
rnacentral:lncRNA from 1 species